AUUUUUCCAGAUGAAUAUCAUGACUGCUUUUACUAUUUAUAUGAGGAAUGCCAUUGGAAUUUUGAUUGGAAUUAAGCAUUAAGUUUGUAUAGUGCUUUUGGUAGUACAGUCAUCUUGACAAUAUUAAUUCUGGCUAUCCAGGAAGAAGGAAGAUAAUUCUGUCUUCUAAGGUCUUAUUUAUUUUUUUCUUUAGCAUUCUGUAGUUUUCAUUGUAGAGGUUGAUUGCCAAGUAUUUUAAAUUUUUUGAGGCUAUUGUAAAUGGUGUAGUUUUCCUCAUUUCCCUUUCAGAGGAUUUGUCACAAAUGUACAGAAAUAUCUUUGAGUUAUGGAUGUUUAUUUUGUAUCCUGC
rnacentral:lncRNA from 1 species